AUUGAACGCUGGCGGCAGGCCUAACACAUGCAAGUCGAACGAGUGGCGGACGGGUGAGUAAUGUCUGGGAAACUGCCUGGUGGAGGGGGAUAACUACUGGAAACGGUAGCUAAUACCGCAUACCAUCGGAUGUGCCCAAAUGGGAUUAGCUAGUAGGAGGGGUAACGGCUCACCAAGGCGACGAUCCCUAGCUGGUCUGCGAGGAUGACCAGCCACACUGGAACUGAGAGACGGUCCAGACGCCUACGGGAGGCAGCAGUGGGGAAUAUUGCACAAUGGGCGCAAGCCUGAUGCAGCCAUGCCGCGUGUAUGAAGAAGGCCUUCGGGUUGUAAAGUACUUUCAGCGGUGAGGCGUUACCCGCAGAAGAAGCACCGGCUAACUCCGUGCCAGCAGCCGCGGUAAUUC
rnacentral:rRNA from 1 species